AUUCUUAAAAUUAUUAUUUAUAAAUUAAUAUAAAUAAAGAUAUUUAAAAUUGGUUAUUUAUUCUGAUGGUGGCACAUAAUCGGAGGCCCCGACUGUUUACUUAAAACACAGCUUUCUGCAACGAUUAAUAUCUUUGUAUAGGAAGCGAAUUUUGCCCAAUGCCAUUAAUAUAAUGUUGAUAACCUUUUUAGUGUUUAUUGAUUGAAGUUCUGGUCAAUGGCGGUCUUAACCAUGAGGAUCCUAAGGUAGCAAAAUUAAUUGUCCAUUAAAUGUGGUCCCGACUGAAUAAAGUAACGAUGGUCUCACUGUCUCUACAAGUAUCUCAGUGAAAUUGAAUUAGCCGUGCAGAUGCGGUUUAACUUCGGGUAGACGGGAAGACCCUAUGCAGCUUCUACUGA
rnacentral:rRNA from 1 species